GAUCAUGGCCUCAGGAUGAACGCUAGCUACAGGCUUAACACAUGCAAGUCGGAGGGGCAGCAUGGUCUUAGCUUGCUAAGGCCGAUGGCGACCGGCGCACGGGUGAGUAACACGUAUCCAACCUGCCGUCUACUCUUGGACAGCCUUCUGAAAGGAAGAUUAAUACAAGAUGGCAUCAUGAGUCCGCAUGUUCACAUGAUUAAAGGUAUUCCGGUAGACGAUGGGGA
rnacentral:rRNA from 1 species